AGAUGGUGUUUUAGAAACGACGAAUGUGCUAAAAAUGUUGACUUCCUUGCUGCCCAACUCAGUCCGAUAGAGUACACCACGAUCACCGAAGGAAUUGUCAGCAUACCAUUACUUGGAAGCGAAAUCUUUCAAAAUCAAUUUGGUUUGAAAACGCAACAACAUCCCAUUAUACCGUUAUUACAAAAUCAAUCGGUAAACAUAAAUGACGUGGCCCACAAAAUUGUCGGUAUUUUCAAUCAUCAUGAUCAGCAAAGAAAGGAGCACAUUGUUGCGUAUUUAAGGC